GGCGAGGGCGUAGCCGAGCGCGGUGCGGGUAUCUCGCGCUCCGGCUUUGCUCCACGAAGAACGAAAGGACCGGCGAGGACGAGGGUAGAUGGGCCGCACUUCCUGUCCACCAGCUGAAGAUUCCCGUAUUUCCUCCAAGUGCAGAAUUUUCUCCGGAUCUGCGACUCCUUCCUCCAGGUUUAGCUCUGAUGCCCUCUCUGCAGCCCUUUUGUGACAAUGAGUGGAGCCAAGCAGAGAGGACAAGCCAACAUGUUGAAGGCAGAGAAGACAGAUGGGAAAGAUCCAGGAUUGUUGAUAAAUUAACCUACCUUGAGCACCACACAUCUGGCCUUUUGUUAUAUAACAGAGUAAGUGUCCUUGUUGUAAAGUUUUAUGUGUUUUGCAGCCCAAUCUCCCUUUAUGUUAUACCUUUAUGGCAACUCACAUUAAUAAAAAUGAACGUGUGAUUCAUUCA